GGCUGGAAAAACGUCAAGACAACGUUACGUGCUGCUUUCACAGAGCUGAUGAGUGAAUUCAUUCUUUACUAGUUAUUCCAUCUACAACUGGUUAACUUGGAGAAAUACUGGUUCAGAGAAAAACGUAAAUUACUGUUUCUGCAUAUCCUAUAUUAAGUGAAUUUCUGUUCAAAUUCUGGACCAGUGCCUGACUGCUAUCACCAGGGAAAUGUUAGAAGAGGACUCAUAACCAAGAGCCUGAAUGAGAAAGGAAUUUCCAAGAGAGGAGCUACAAACAGGGGCCUUUGCUCUGGCUUCCUGAUUCUUCCCUCUUAGCUCAAGUUAGGAAGUAAUUCACAAGGGAGAAGAAGACAGCAUCUUUUCGCUGGUUUCGUUUCUUGAUUUCCCUGCACCCCAGUACGUGGUUUCUGAGGGUGAUGCAGUGAAGGCUGGCAAAACCGUUGUCUGAGUUAAAGCCUGAUGGUGUGAAAGCAAUAUGCAUUCAGUAGAAACUGUACUUUGAAUUUUGAAUUUGAUAUUUUCCUGGGCUAGUGAUAUGCUGUAUGAUCCUCUCUCACGUGAUGCUGGGCAGUGGCAGCGAGCCUCAGCCCCCGGUCAGCCACAGGGUCAUGAGGGGCCACCACCUACUGUUCUUCUGCAGAGCACUGCUCUGGGGCUACUGGGACCACGUUGGUACAAAGGUACAAAGAAUAGUGACUGCCAGUUUACAUCUUGACCACUGUUGGACUGGCAGGAGAUAUAUGGAAGCCCGUCUCCUUUACUUGUGUUUGGGACAAUUCAGGUGUCAUUUACACCCAGAGUUCCCUGAGGGGUUCAAGCUAAAGCCUUUCCUCUACUGGACUUUUGCCUGAGAUAGCAUCCUUUGUAGGACCUCUGCUAUGUCCAUGUCCUGCUGCUUUUCCUAUUCUUCUAUGGAACUUUCAUAAUAAAUCACCCACACGCAAAUGUUCUUUUCAGGGGCUGCUCUGGGUAUGCGUAGGGCUGCCAUAACCAAGUGCCACAGUCUAGGUGGCUUAAAACAACAGGAAUUUAUUUUAACUAUUUUCAUAGGUGUGGAGGCUGGAAGUCUGAGAUCAAGGUGUUGAGGGGUUGGCUCCUCUUAAGGGCUCUGAGGGAGAAUCUGUUCCUUGCCUCUCUCCUAGCUUCUGAAGAUGGCCAGAAAUCCUUGCUUUUCUCUGGUUUGUGGAUAUAUCACUCCAGUUUCUGCUCCCUUCUUCAUGUGGUGUUCUCCCUGUGUCUCUGUGUCUUUGCAUAGCCAUCUUUUUAAUAAAGACUCCAGCCAUAUUGGAUUAGCAUCCCCCGGUUCCUAAAUAGGGUCAUAUUCUGAGGUAGUGGACAUUAGGACUUCAGCAUAUCUGUUUUGGGGACUACAAUUCAACCCAUAAUACCCACAUAUCCAAAACAAUAACCAUUCUUCUAUCAAAGGAAAAGCCACAUCCACGCUGGCAAACAUAGCAAACCUUACAGAUCCCUCAGGAAUAAGUGUUGUUGAGCAUUACAGAGAGGUAAUGCACUGAAGAUCAUAUCAGCCCUCUGACCUGCUUUGCAGAUUCCUUAACCGAUUCUUCAUCAAUUUCUUUUUCACUGCCCAAAGAAACCCAUGGUUUAGAGAUAGGUGGUUUAUAAAUAU